UCAUAUGUGUGCACACUACUGUAUGUACACCCUGUCUUUUCUGUGGAUGCUAUGUUUGCCCACUAAUAGCAAUUUUUAUUUCUGGUAGAUUGCUAACAAGGAGAAGGAUCUUUACGAGAGAAAUACUGUACCUGUGAUGAUAUUGUAGCGAGGUACUAAUGUUUUCUUUUUUGAAAUCAGUUUAUAUUCACAUGGAAUUCCUACCUUGAAGGUGCGAACUGGAUGUAUGUACAGUGAUGAGAUUGUACCGAGGUACGGACGUUUUCUUCUUUGCAAUCAGUUCAUAUUGACAUGGAAUUCCUACCUUGUAGUUGCAAACGGGAUAUAGCAAAUUUCUGGACUUAGUAUAUGCUGGAACUUAACUAUUAAAAAAAGGUACGGACACUUCCCAUCCAAGCAUCCUCUAAUUCAGUGUUAAUGAUAACUUACUAUGAAUCAUUUUAUACCUGAGAGCUAGACCACUUCAAUCAAUACAAUGCCUCUUGCACAUGCAGAUGGUGGCCGCUAAAGAGUAUGUCCUUUCUCAGAACAUAUAUCAAGCUCACAGGACAGUUCAGUGAAAUCAUAGGUGUUUUUUUCUCUCGAACACAUGCCUAAGCACGCGUCAUUGUACAUUAGAAGAAGCCGUCGAGAAGACGGGAGCAUACAGGGAGGUAGCAGAGCUACACAAGAAGUUCAAAGAAAAGAGAAAAGAAACUAUACAAGGCUAACUUUGUUAGGCCUGCAGAUCCUGAAGCUAUUCACCAUAUUUUUGUUACUACAGUUUUCUUUUUGCAAUGAAGUGCUUGCAAAGUAGGUCAGAUUCCCUUUGAAUUUUAUGCUUUUUAAAUACCUACAACGAAAUUUAUCUUUGAGUAGCUCUUUUAGAAAAUGAUAUAAUUAGCGUAAAUACUAAAUUCUACACAAGUACAUAUUAUAUCUCUUAUUUUUUUAUCUAUUCCAGAAGCAAUUAAUCUCUUUCGGAAACGUGCAUGGAUAGGAAAAAUAAGUUAAAUAGUAUAAGAUGUUCCUUAUUUGCUCUAAUUUUGGUGGAUUCUUUUCAUCUUCUGUAUUCCUUCAGCUUUGCAUGGGAAUUGUUCAAGUGUUCCUGCACCUUCGUCUUUAAUUGAUGGGCAAGGUUUAUCAGCUGGUUGGCCUUUGAUAGGACCAGAAGGAUGCUUGGAGCACUAGGUUCAGUAUCUGCAUAUGAUGACUAAGUUCAGUGCUGAAAUUACCUACAGGAGCUAAUGCGCUUUCUGAUAUGAAAAUCCACAUAAUAGUGUUGUUACAUUACAUGUACUUCUCAUUGGCAGAUAGUUUCAUGCUACUUUCUGUUCUUUUGUGUGGUUAUAAUAUAAUCAGAGUGUACCGAACAUUAUCCUAUCUAUUUUUCUUUUGUAUUA